GUAUAUGUUUUAUAGGCACAACAUUCUAUCGACAUACAUUGGGGUAAAUGAAGCAACAUAGACCUGAAAGGCCUACAAAAAGUGCACAGGUGGAGAUAUAAAGAUGACAAGGCGUGCACAUGCUCCCUAGAGAACCAGCAACAACCCAUCAGGUUUAUUUCAAUAAUGAUCCUUCCGCAGGUUCACCUACGGAAA
rnacentral:misc_RNA from 1 species